rnacentral:rRNA from 1 species
GCAGCCGCGGUAAUACGUAGGUGGCGAGCGUUGUCCGGAUUUACUGGGCGUAAAGGGAGCGUAGGCGGACUUUUAAGUGAGAUGUGAAAUACCCGGGCUCAACUUGGGUGCUGCAUUUCAAACUGGAAGUCUAGAGUGCAGGAGAGGAGAAUGGAAUUCCUAGUGUAGCGGUGAAAUGCGUAGAGAUUAGGAAGAACACCAGUGGCGAAGGCGAUUCUCUGGACUGUAACUGACGCUGAGGCUCGAAAGCGUGGGGAGCAAACAGGAUUAGAAACCCC